rnacentral:rRNA from 1 species
UGGGGAAUUUUGGACAAUGGGCGAAAGCCUGAUCCAGCCAUGCCGCGUGAGUGAAGAAGGCCUUCGGGUUGUAAAGCUCUUUUAGUCGGAAAGAAAGAGUUGCAAUGAAUAAUUGUGAUUUAUGACGGUACCGACAGAAAAAGCACCGGCUAACUACGUGCCAGCAGCCGCGGUAAUACGUAGGGUGCGAGCGUUAAUCGGAAUUACUGGGCGUAAAGGGUGCGCAGGCGGUCUUGCAAGUCAGAUGUGAAAGCCCCGGGCUUAACCUGGGAAUUGCGUUUGAAACUACAAGGCUAGAGUGCAGCAGAGGGGAGUGGAAUUCCAUGUGUAGCAGUGAAAUGCGUAGAGACGUGGAAGAACACCGAUGGCGAAGGCAGCUCCCUGGGUUGACACUGACGCUCAUGCACGAAAGCGUGGGGAGCAAACA